rnacentral:lncRNA from 1 species
UUCAAGCCUCCCGCAUCUCCAUCUCAGCCAUAAGCUCAAUCUGACGUCCACGUCCUCGCCAUCCCCUGCAACCAAGGAUCAAGCCGACUUCAUCCAACAAAUUCCAGCUCCCAGCUCACUGACUUUCACGUUCGGAGCAGAUCAUCUCCCCAUCUCGAUCACGUCCACGGAACAGGAAGCCGUUCCUUGCCCUUAUCUUCCUACUCGAAAGAUCCUAUCCAGAGAGAGAAAUAGGAGGGCUGGUGAAGGCCAUAAAAGGGGGAGGAGACGGAUCCCAUGGCAAGCUCUUCUUAGGCCGAGUUCCCACAAAAAUAAAAGGAGGGAGAGAAGUUUGGAUAUUGUGGGAAUAACUCCCCACGGAGAGAAAAAAAAAUGAUGAAGGGAGUUUGAUUCUUAUUCAGUUCAUGUUGGGAUUAGUCUGAGAAGGAAGAUGAAGAAGGAAGGAACCUAGUCAUGAUGAAGGCCUUCUGCGUCGUUGCUACUACCUCCCAUACCAUGGAAGGCUGAUCUCUUCACUAGGGCAGGAUGAAGCCCUAACAAAGGGCCAAGAGUUUUGUAUUUUUUAUUUCUAUUCUUG